GAUGAACGCUGGCGGCGUGCCUAAUACAUGCAAGUCGAGCGAACGGACGAGAAGCUUGCUUCUCUGAUGUUAGCGGCGGACGGGUGAGUAAUACGUGGAUAACCUACCUAUAAGACUGGGAUAACUUCGGGAAACCGGAGCUAAUACCGGAUAAUAUUUUGAACCGCAUGGUUCAAAAGUGAAAGACGGUCUUGCUGUCACUUAUAGAUGGAUCCGCGCUGCAUUAGCUAGUUGGUAAGGUAACGGCUUACCAAGGCAACGAUGCAUAGCCGACCUGAGAGGGUGAUCGGCCACACUGGAACUGAGACACGGUACAGACUCCUACGGGAGGCAGCAGUAGGGAAUCUUCCGCAAUGGGCGAAAGCCUGACGGAGCAACGCCGCGUGAGUGAUGAAGGUCUUCGGAUCGUAAAACUCUGUUAUUAGGGAAGAACAUAUGUGUAAGUAACUGUGCACAUCUUGACGGUACCUAAUCAGAAAGCCACGGCUAACUACGUG
rnacentral:rRNA from 1 species